AUUGAACGCUGGCGGCAUGCCUUACACAUGCAAGUCGAACGGCAGCAUGGGGAGCUUGCUCUCUGAUGGCGAGUGGCGAACGGGUGAGUAAUGCAUCGGAACGUACCGUGUAAUGGGGGAUAACGUAGCGAAAGUUACGCUAAUACCGCAUACGACCUGAGGGUGAAAGCAGGGGAUCGCAAGACCUUGCGUUAUACGAGCGGCCGAUGUCAGAUUAGCUAGUUGGUGAGGUAAAGGCUCACCAAGGCGACGAUCUGUAGCGGGUCUGAGAGGAUGAUCCGCCACACUGGGACUGAGACACGGCCCAGACUCCUACGGGAGGCAGCAGUGGGGAAUUUUGGACAACGGGGGCAACCCUGAUCCAGCCAUGCCGCGUGAGUGAAGAAGGCCUUCGGGUUGUAAAGCUCUUUCGGCCGGGAAGAAAUCGCACAGGCUAAUACUCUGUGUGGAUGACGGUACCGGCAUAAGAAGCACCGGCUAACUACGUGCCAGCCGCCGCGGUAA
rnacentral:rRNA from 1 species